rnacentral:rRNA from 1 species
GUGCCAGCAGCUGCGGUAAUACAUAGGUCGCGAGCGUUAUUCGGAUUUAUUGGGCGUAAAGCAAGCGCAGGCGGAUUGAUAAGUUCUGUGUUAAAAGCAGCUGCUCAACAGUUGUUUGCACCGAAUACUGUCAGUCUAGAAUUUGGUAGGGAGUUUCGGAAUUAAAUAUGGAGCGGUGGAAUGUGUAGAUAUAUUUAAGAACACCAGAAGCGAAGGCGGAAACUCAAGCCAUAAUUGACGCUUAGGCUUGAAAGUGUGGGGAGCAAAUGGGAUUAGAUACCCCAGUAGUCCACACCGUAAACGAUGGGUAUUGGGUGCCGGGGUUUGUGCUUCGGCGCUGUAGCUUACGUGUUAAAUACCCCGCCUGGGUAGUACAUAUGCAAAUAUGAAACUCAAAGGAAUUGACGGGGACCUGAACAAGUGGUGGAACAUGUUGCUUAAUUCGAUAAUACACGAAAAACCUUACCAAGGUUUGACAUCCCCCGCGAAACUAUAGAAAUAUAGCGGAGGUUAUCGGGGUGACAGGUGGUGCAUGGUUGUCGUCAGCUCGUGUCAUGAGAUGUUUGGUUAAGUCCCGCAACGAGCGCAACCCCACUCCUUAGUUACCUAAUCUAGGGAGACUGAACAGUAAUGUAUAGGAAGGUUGGGAUCACGUCAAAUCAUCAUGCCCCUUAUGCCUUGGGCUGCAAACGUGUUACAAUGGCGAGUACAAUGUGUCGCAAGCUAGCGAUAGUGAGCUAAUCACCAAAACUCGUCUCAGUUCGGAUAGGAGGCUGCAAUUCGCCUCCUUGAAGUUGGAAUCACUAGUAAUCCCGUGUCAGCUAUAUCGGGGUGAAUACGUUCCCAGGUC